rnacentral:rRNA from 1 species
ACUUUCAGCAAUGGAUAUCUUGGCUCUUGCAACGAUGAAGAACGCAGCGAAAUGCGAUACGUAGUGCGAAUUGCAGAACUCCGUGAAUCAUCAAGUUUUUGAACGCAUAUUGCGCUCCUGAUUUCCGGUCAGGAGCAUGCCUGUUUCAGUGUCUGUUACACCCCUCACCCGACUCUUUUUUCGGUCGGGAUUGGAUGUUGGGCGUGUCUUUCUUUUUUCCAUUAGAGGAGGAGAAUCACCGCCUGAAGAAGAGAACUUUGAACUCGCUGCUGGUUUUUUUUAUCCCAGUAGCAAUUCAGGAGAGUUUCUCUGUGGUAAGCUUUUGUGGGUUGUGUUGUUUCCUUUUAUUUCAAGAGGAACUCGCAAACGCAUGGUGUGGCAGUAGCCCCUUCUCCUCCGGAGUUGUGUGUGCUUCCCCACCACGCGGUGUUUUGCGAUGUUUUCCCUUGUGGGAAACACACCCUACUACUUCAAUGAGCUGCCCGGAGUCUCCGUUUUUUUCCAAUCAGACCUGAAAUCAAGUAAGAAGACCCGCUGGAUUUAAGCAUAUAACUAAGCGGAGGAAAAGAAACUAACUAGGAUUCCCUCAGUAACGGCGAGUGAAGCGGGAAGAGCUCACGUUGAAAAUCCCUUGUGCCUUGUGUAUGAGGGAGUUGUAAGCUUGCGAAGUGUGACCAGUGGCAGGUUCGGGAUAAGUUCCGAUGGAAUACGGUGCCAGAGAGGGUGAAAGCCCCGUCUUGCGCCCGAACUGCUCGUCACGUACGGUCCACUCUCUCCGAGUCGAGAUGCUUGGGAAUGCAUCUCUAAGUGGGUGGUAAAUUCCAUCUAAAGCUAAAUACUGGCAAGAGACCGAUAGCGAACAAGUACCGUGAGGGAAAGAUGAAAAGUCCUUUGAAAAGAGAGUGUAAAGAGAGCUUGAAAUUGCUGAAAGGGAAGCGGUUGGCUCCAGUGUGGCUUUCCAGGAAGUUCGGUUGGCGAUUCGUUCGUGGCCUUGUUCCUGGAUAUUUUUUAUGCCGGUCAGCAUCAGUUAUGGAGGCGUGAGUGCCCCGGGUGGAAGGUGGCCCGGCACCCGGUUUACCGGGACCGUCGGGCUUUACAGCCACUCGUGUCGGUGGCGCGUCCGUGACUGAGGGAUCAUCUCGAUUCGCUGCUCCUUGCAGCCUCAUGGGGGAAAGUACGCGGCCAAUUUGGAAAGUGCACGUCGUGGUUGGUCACGGCUGCCCCGCUGCUUUCUCCUGCUCAUGGGCUGUCGAGCGGUUGAAGAUGCUGACGAAAUGGAGUCCACCGGCCCGUCUUGAAACACGGACCAAGGAGUCUAACAUGUGUGCGAGUACUCGGGUGGUAAACCCAAACAAAAAAGAGUGCGCAAUGAAAGUAAAGGCCUGCCCUCGGGGCGGCUGCGGUGGCUGCGCCAUCGGCCGAUCAUGAUUCUUUGAUGAAAGAUUCGAGCGUGAGCAUACCUGUUGGGACCCGAAAGAUGGUGAACUAUGCCUGAGGAGGGCGAAGCCAGGGGAAACCCUGGUGGAGGCUCGCCGCGAUUCUGACGUGCAAAUCGAUCGUCACAUUUGGGUAUAGGGGCGAAAGACUAAUCGAACCAUCUAGUAGCUGGUUCCCUCCGAAAUUUCCCUUAGGAUAGCUGCAACUUGCGUGUACAGUUUUAUCAGGUAAAGCGAAUGAUUAGAGGUUUCCGGGUCUUCAUGACCUGGACCUAUUCUCAAACUUUAAAUGGGUAAGACGGGCACCUUGCCUCAGACCGUUGUGUUUGAAGGUGCCCUGCGAAUGGAAAGUUGCUAGUGGGCCAUAGCCGGUAAGCGGCUCUGGCGAUGCGGGAUGAACCGAACGCAGUGUUAAAGCGCCAGACUGUCCGCUCAUCAGAUCCCAGAAAAGGUGUUGGUUCAUUUAGACAGCAGGACGGUGGCCAUGGAAGUCGGAACCCGCUAAGGAGUGUGUAACAACUCACCUGCCGAAUGGAUUAGCCCUGAAAAUGGAUGGCGCUGUAGCGGACGGCUUAGACACUGCCAUCGGGGCAGGAUGGAGGCCCCGAUGAGUAGGAGGGCGUGGAGCUCAGCGGUGCAGGCCUCGGCGUGAGCCGGGCUGAAGCGGGCUCUAGUGCAGAUCUUGGUGAUAGUAGCAAAUAUUCAAAUGAGAUCUUUGAAGACUGAAGUGGAGAAAGGUUUGACGUGAACAUUGAUUGGACGUCAGUGAGCCGCUCCUAAGAGAUAGGGGAAAUCCGUUCGGAAGUGGGCACUUCGCGUGCCCCGCCUAUCGAAAGGGAACCAGGUUAAUAUUCCUGGGCCGGGACGGGGAUAGGUGGCAACACGUACGAGCUUGGAGACGUCGGAGGGAGCCCCAGGGAGAGUUAUCUUUUCUUGUUAACAGCCUAGCUACCCUGGAAUCGGUUCGCCCGGAGAUAGGGUUGUAUGGCUGGUAGAGCACAUGCAUCUUGCGCGUGUCUGGAGCGCUCUCGACGGCCCUUGAAAAUCCAAGCGAGGUACCCUAGUGUCAUUCCCACCCCCGGGCGUACUCAUAACCGCAUCAGGUCUCCAAGGUGUGCAGCCUCUCGUUGAUAGAACAAUGUAGGUAAGGGAAGUCGGCAAAAUGGAUCCGUAACUUCGGGAAAAGGAUUGGCUCUGAGGGCCGGGUGUUCGGGGUCCCGCGGUUUUGCUAGUCCAGGGGAGCGCCUGGUGAGACGGUAAAGGUGUCAAAGCCUUCGCUGUUGAGCCGGCUGCGCACCCUUGCGAUCGGCCCGCGGGAGGGGGUCCUUCGGGGCUCCCAUUCCCCGGCACGUUGAACGGCCAGCUCAGAACUGGAGCGGACAAGGGGAAUCCGACUGUUUAAUUAAAACAAAGCAUUGCGAGGGUCGGAAACGAUGUUGACGCAAUGUGAUUUCUGCCCAGUGCUCUGAAUGUCAAAGUGAAGGAAUUCAACCAAGCGCGGGUAAACGGCGGGAGUAACUAUGACUCUCUUAAGGUAGCCAAAUGCCUCGUCAUCUAAUUAGUGACGCGCAUGAAUGGAUUAACGAGAUUCCCACUGUCCCUAUCUACUAU